GUCUGACGGAGCACGCCGCGUGAGUGAUGAAGGUUUUCGGAUCGUAAAGCUCUGUUGUUAGGGAAGAACAAGUGCGAGAGUAACUGCUCGCACCUUGACGGUACCUAACCAGAAAGCCACGGCUAACUACGUGCCAGCAGCCGCGGUAAUACGUAGGUGGCAAGCGUUGUCCGGAAUUAUUGGGCGUAAAGGGCUCGCAGGCGGUUUCUUAAGUCUGAUGUGAAAGCCCCCGGCUCAACCGGGGAGGGUCAUUGGAAACUGGGAAACUUGAGUGCAGAAGAGGAGAGUGGAAUUCCACGUGUAGCGGUGAAAUGCGUAGAGAUGUGGAGGAACACCAGUGGCGAAGGCGACUCUCUGGUCUGUAACUGACGCUGAGGAGCGAAAGCGUGGGGAGCGAACAGGAUUAGAUACCCUGGUAGUCCACGCCGUAAACGAUGAGUGCUAAGUGUUAGGGGGUUUCCGCCCCUUAGUGCUGCAGCUAACGCAUUAAGCACUCCGCCUGGGGAGUACGGUCGCAAGACUGAAACUCAAAGGAAUUGACGGGGGCCCGCACAAGCGGUGGAGCAUGUGGUUUAAUUCGAAGCAACGCGAAGAACCUUACCAGGUCUUGACAUCCUCUGACAACCCUAGAGAU
rnacentral:rRNA from 1 species